rnacentral:rRNA from 1 species
UGGGGAAUAUUGGACAAUGGGGGAAACCCUGAUCCAGCAAUGUCGCGUGAGUGAAGAAGGCCUUCGGGUUGUAAAGCUCUUUCAUCAGUGAAGAUAAUGACGUUAACUGAAGAAGAAGCUCCGGCUAACUCCGUGCCAGCAGCCGCGGUAAUACGGAGGGGGCUAGCGUUGUUCGGAAUUACUGGGCGUAAAGCGUAUGUAGGCGGAUCAAAAAGUUAGAUGUGAAAUCCCUGGGCUCAACUCAGGAAUUGCAUUUAAAACUAAUGAUCUAGAAUUUGGUAGAGGAUAGUAGAACUUCCAGUGUAGAGGUGAAAUUCGUAGAUAUUGGAAAGAAUACCAGUGGCGAAGGCGACUAUCUGGGCCAUUUUUGACGCUGAGAUACGAAAGCGUGGGUAGCGAACAGG